AUUGAACGCUGGCGGUAUGCUUAACACAUGCAAGUCGAACGGUAACAGGUCUAGCUUGCUAGAUGCUGACGAGUGGCGGACGGGUGAGUAACGCGUAGGAAUCUGCCUUUUGGAUCGGGACAACACAGGGAAACUUGUGCUAAUACCGGAUAAGCCCUUCGGGGGAAAGGCUUCGGCCACCAAAAGAUGAGCCUGCGUUGGAUUAGCUAGUUGGUAGGGUAAAGGCCUACCAAGGCAAAAAUCUAUAGCUGUUUUGAGAGGAAGAACAGCCACACUGGGACUGAGACACGGCCCAGACUCCUACGGGAGGCAGCAGUGGGGAAUAUUGGACAAUGGGGGAAACCCUGAUCCAGCAAUACCGCGUGUGUGAAGAAGGCCUGAGGGUUGUAAAGCACUUUAGUUGGGGAAGAAGACUACUUCGGUAGUUUGACGUUACCCAAAGAAUAAGCACCGGCUAACUCUGUGCCAGCAGCCGCGGUAAUACAGAGGGUGCGAGCGUUAAUCGGAA
rnacentral:rRNA from 1 species